AUUGAACGCUGGCGGCAGGCCUAACACAUGCAAGUCGAGCGGAGCGGCGGACGGGUGAGUAAUGCCUAGGAAUCUGCCUGGGAGUGGGGGAUAACGUCCGGAAACGGGCGCUAAUACAGCAUACUAUCAGAUGAGCCUAGGUCGGAUUAUCUAGUUGGUGGGGUAAAGGCCUACCAAGGCGACGAUCCGUAAAUGGGCUGAGAGGAGGAUCAGUCACACUGCACCUUAGACACGGUCCAGACUCCUCCGGGCGUCAGCAGUGGGGAAUAUUGCACAAUGGGCGAAAGCCUGCUCCAUCCAUGCCGCGUGUGUGAAGAAGUUCUUCGGAUUUUAAAGCACUUUAAGUUGGGAGGCGUUACCAACAGAAUAAGCACCGGCUAACUUCGUGCCAGCAGCCGCGGUAAUUC
rnacentral:rRNA from 1 species